rfam:Pichia sorbitophila strain CBS 7064 chromosome H complete sequence.
AUGGGACUUUAUCUCCAUGUGCAUGCCAUUUCUAGAUGUGCGUGGUAAACGAAUCCCAAAUAUUGAAGCUCAAGUUACCAUGUAUCGAUUUACGUCUUUACAUGGCCUUGAAGAGAUGUUUGCAGAGAAAACUUUGCCUCACGAAAUGCGAUGCUUUUCUUUGAAUACAUCUCACAUUA